rnacentral:rRNA from 1 species
UGAGGGGUAUUGGGCAAUGGGGGAAACCCUGACCCAGCGACGCCGCGUGAGGGAAGACGGUCUUCGGAUUGUAAACCUCUGUCUUUGGGGACGAAAAAGGACGGUACCCAAGGAGGAAGCUCCGGCUAACUACGUGCCAGCAGCCGCGGUAAUACGUAGGGAGCGAGCGUUGUCCGGAAUUACUGGGUGUAAAGGGAGCGUAGGCGGGAUUGCAAGUUGGAUGUGAAAACUGCGGGCUCAACCCGGAGAGUGCAUUCAAAACUGCGAUUCUUGAGUGAAGUAGAGGCAAGCGGAAUUCCUAGUGUAGCGGUGAAAUGCGUAGAUAUUAGGAGGAACACCAGUGGCGAAGGCGGCUUGCUGGGCUUUUACUGACGCUGAGGCUCGAAAGUGUGGGGAGCAAACAGG